rnacentral:rRNA from 1 species
CCCUCCCUCUGGCGGCAUGCCUAACACAUGCAAGUCGAACGAGACCUUCGGGUCUAGUGGCGCACGGGUGCGUAACGCGUGGGAACCUGCCCUUAGGUUCGGAAUAACUCCCCGAAAGGGGUGCUAAUACCGGAUAAUGUCUUCGGACCAAAGAUUUAUCGCCUUUGGAUGGGCCCGCGUUGGAUUAGCUAGUUGGUAGGGUAAAAGCCUACCAAGGCGACGAUCCAUAGCUGGUCUGAGAGGAUGAUCAGCCACACUGGGACUGAGACACGGCCCAGACUCCUACGGGAGGCAGCAGUGGGGAAUAUUGGACAAUGGGCGAAAGCCUGAUCCAGCAAUGCCGCGUGAGUGAUGAAGGCCUUAGGGUUGUAAAGCUCUUUUACCCGGGAUGAUAAUGACAGUACCGGGAGAAGAAGCUCAGGCUAACUCCGU